UACGUAGGGUGCGAGCGUUGUCCGGAAUUAUUGGGCGUAAAGAGCUUGUAGGCGGUUUGUCGCGUCUGCUGUGAAAAUCCGGGGCUCAACCCCGGGCCUGCAGUCGAUACGGGCAGACUAGAGUGUGGUAGGGGAGAUCGGAAUUCCUGGUGUAGCGGUGGAAUGCGCAGAUAUCAGGAGGAACACCAAUGGCGAAGGCAGAUCUCUGGGCCGUAACUGACGCUGAGGAGCGAAAGCAUGGGGAGCGAACAGG
rnacentral:rRNA from 1 species